CGGAAAUUUAUGACAACCCAGGUCCCCAAAGCCACGCGAUGAAAUCUUGCCUCACAGUUGACUGGAUCUAGGAGGCAGUGGGCUCGGGGGAGGCUGACGAGGCUCUGCCUCCAGGGAAUGUUAGCAUAAUGAAUCGGAAUAAAAGAAUUGUUUUAAAAGGAAAGGAUGACGUGAAGGCUCUGAAAUGACCAACUCUUAACCGCUUAUCUGGACUCCUGUGAGUGAGUGCUCUGCAAGGCGCUGGGAGACAGACUACAGGCCCAUCUCCUGGAAACCCUGCUCUACUUUUCCCCUAUGACCAUGUUAGAAGACUGAAUCGAAUUUGUGUUGCAUCGCAAUCUAAAAAACUUGAAAUCCUUACAAAGACACCGAUAACAAUCAUGGCAGAGGAAGACAUUGAUGAUAAUCAUGGCAGAGGAAUCCCUCAUGAUCCGCACGCAGACGGAGAGGAGCAGUUCCCUGCCCUUUCGAUACUGAAUCCCUGGAGUCAAGUGUCAGGCUUGGCACUGAUCAAGAAUCCAGCAAACGUGUACCACAAACAAAUGGAAGUUGAAUUAAUUAUGAUGCCCUUGAAAGGUGCCAGGUAAGAAAUGCCUCAAAUGUGAAAAAUGCAGUCCCUGAAACCAGAAGUCUAUGAUGAAUUUUCCCAAAGACAGAGAGCAAAUCAAGGACCGUAAUUUAGCUAUUCCGCUUUCUAUUAGCCUGGCCUAUGAAUCACAGAAAUAGACCCGUUUCGCCUGUUACUUUAAAAUCAAAAAGGCUUAAUCCUUCACCGAUAGCUAUUGCUGAAAAAUAAUUCAUUGGCUUCCAUUGCCAAUUGCACCAGAAUAUCGAC
rnacentral:lncRNA from 12 species